UACAGCGGUCUCAAGCGUUGUUCGGAUUCAUUGGGCGUAAAGGGCGCGUAGGCGGCCUUCUAAGUCGAACGUGAAAUCCCCGGGCUCAACCCGGGAACUGCGUCCGAUACUGGAAGGCUUGAAUCCGGGAGAGGGAUGCGGAAUUCCAGGUGUAGCGGUGAAAUGCGUAGAUAUCGGGAGGAACACCUGUGGCGAAGGCGGCCCCCUGGUUGGAUACUGACGCUGAUACGCGAAAGCGUGGGGAGCAAACAGG
rnacentral:rRNA from 1 species